UUUAUGGAGUUAAGUGUUUCAAAGUUUAAUGUUUCUUGUGCUGGGGGAGUCAAAGGGGAUAAAUUCUUUUCCAGCAUAGUUGGUCCUAAUGAUAGAGAAGAGCAGUUCAUGUUUAAUGUGCUUUUAAGAGGAAGCUGUUCCAGGAAUGGAUCCAAGUUUCCAGAGUUUGAUAUAUUUUUGCUGCUGUUCGAGGAAAACUUCCUCCUCUCAUGUGAAGAGAUAAGGUUUGUUGUUGGAGUUCUCUUUGUGAACAAGGAAAUUGGACUGGCCAGGUUUGUGAAAUGUCUCUGAACGGAUAUUCCAUGGUAGCUGAGAAGGGAUUUAUUUGCAAUUAUCCGUGCUGUUGUCUCAGCCGAUUUAAAGAAUUACAGUACAGCAUUGGGAGAACUUCUAAUUCUGAUGUGGAUCAUGUUGAAACACCAGAAAUUAAGGAAACUGUAUUAUACUAGUAAGGUACAUUGGAAGCUGCCUUAUUCCAACUCAGACCAUUGGCUCAUCUAGCUCAGUACUGUCUACACUGACUGGCAGGGCUCUCCAGGGUUUCAGGCAGGAGACAUUCCCAACCCUACUUGGAGAUGCUGGGGAUUGAACAUUCUGCUUGUCAAGUGGAUGCUCUACCACUGAGCUGCUCUUUUGAAAGAAGAGGACUUGCUCGUGGAGGCUGAAUGGCAGGUAAGCUCUGAUGCAGCCGGUGGUGGGUUUGGGUGUCAAUUUUAAGGACCUUUGGUGUGCUGAGCAAAGGCCAGCUGCCUUGCGUGGCACAGGGCUCACUCCUGACUUUAUUUCCUUGGGCCAUUUUCCAAUAGUGUUCGUGGUACAUAUUUGCCUUCUGCCUGCGUAACAGCAUGGCUGGUCCUAUGUGGCCAUUCACCCCUGAUAUACGAAUGAUGUACACCUUUGCAAAUCAUGCUCUCCUAAAGCGGGCAGGGUGUUACUGUAAGAAAUAUAUCUGGCCACCUUUCUGCCCUGGCCUUUAAUUUCCAGGCCAAGCGCAUUCAGGAACCCAUUUUAUGAAAAUCAAAGGGGGCUGGUUGCAUUCCACCCUAAGGCCGCCUGGUCCUAUGUGGCCAUUCACCCCUGAUGUACUAAUGAUGCUCCUGCCUUCGACAAGCACUUAGUGCUUCCCUCCUUAUGAGGAAAGUUAUUCCAGGCAGUGGCCUUAAUGACUUUUAGGGAGCCUUUUGCCCUGGUAAAGCUUUCCAGGCAAGUCACGUCAUGUUGAGCCCCGCACUUACAUUUCUGUGAUGUUUUCUGUGCAUAUGCUCAAUACGGACCAAGUGGGUAGUAGCGUGGUAGUGAAGUUGAGGGGCUACCCAUUGCCCACUCGGUGUCUGGUUUUGUUGUAAAGGACCUUUCUUUCUGUCAGGCCAGUGGGCCAGCGCUAUCUUUUCAUAUGCAUCGGAUAUGCUUUGAGUCAAUUUUAAUUAUUGGUAUGUUUGCAGGGUCACGAGGGCAUGUGGGUGAGAUCCCUGAGUGUGGGGGUUACAUUUCUUUCAUACAGGAGCGGCUGCGGCCGCUGCCCUCGUGGACUUGCGUUCUGGAAGCAUUCAGGUCAUACAAGCCAGGUUUACCUGUUCAUACAUCUCGACGGAUCUGCCCUAAUCCAAUUCCAGUGCUGGCCUGUUGUUCGGGGGGGCUUUACAGGCCUCUGGUAAGAUUUUGGAGAGUAUGAGCUAUAUAUUCCUCUUCAAACUUGAGCGGCAGCGGCCGCCACCCUCGCAAGCAUGAGUACAGAUUGUAUUCAGCCCAUACGAGCCAGCGUUACCUCCUUUCCUGUGGAGCCUUGGAAUUAGAAGUGGGGGCUGCCAUAGCCUCUGCCCUUGCUCCCAGCACUCAGAGACCGUACCAGUGUGCCUUUGGAGAAUUCCAGGCGUUUUGAGCUCACAGUGCUCUGCCUCUUGCUUGGCCAAUUCCUGUAUCUCAUUUGCUGCAGUUUAUGUUAUAUUUAAGAGGGCAAAAAUAUUGCUGUUACAACUAUCGCUGGACACCUCCCUGCACUGGCCUUUAUUUCCAAGGCAAGAGGAUUGCAGGAUCAUUCUGUAGAUUUUAGGGCAGAAAGGUCCUUGAGGGUUGGCCGCGUUCCGCUUCCAGGCCCACUGACCAGAGGAGGCCAAUCACGCCUGAUAUCCUCCUCCAGAUCCUGCCUUUGUUUCGUUCUUUAUGCUCAUCUCUUGAGUCGCACCUUUCACUGCAGUAGCUCUGAUGAUGUUUUAUGGUGUAUUUCGCCCUAGUAAAGUAUUGAUUUCCUCAAAGCGUGAUGUGUCCUAUGGAGCCUUAUGCUCUAGCAAUUGCACGUUAGGUGCUAAUUCUGUGAUGUUCUCCUUAAGAGUCUCUAAGACUGACCAAAGGGACCGUGUAAGUGCUGUGUCUCUAAGCAGCUGCCCAGUGAUUGAUUUAUGCCCGGUUUCUGCUAUGCAACAAUUCCUGUCGGUUCGGCCAGCGGGCCAGCGUUAUCUCUUCGUCAAUGUGGAUGGUUUUGCCCUGACUCAGUUUCAGUUUUGGCCAUUGUUCGGCAGGCCUUGUUGGCCGGUGGAUGUGAUCAUGGAGUCUAUGGGCUGCAUUCUUUACACAGUGGGGUGGCUACGGCCGCAGCCCUUGUGGGCAUGAGCGUGGAUGAUAUUCAGGCAAUUGGCCGAUGGUGAUCUGCAGCUUUUAAGACGUACGUCCGAUAUUGAUUCUAAAGCUUAUUGUUUUUUCUUCCUUUCAGGUGCGCGGAGCCUUCCAGUCCCUGCAAGGAUCAUCCUGUGUGGCCACUCAUUUUGGGCCCACCAGAGGGCUUUCUCUUCGGUUGCUGGGAUGCAGCUACAGCUCUCUGCGCGAGUGACAGUCAGCUGGGAGGCUCAGAGGGGCAUGUUGUGGGAUGCUUUUUUGCCUUUGGUAUGCCGAAUAAUGUCUUCGGCCCAUCGGCCCCAUGUCUUGUUAGUCUAUUUGGGUGAGAAUGAUUUUGUCCAGCAGCCAGCCAUGGAUUUGGGGCUCAGGUUACUCAUGAUUUAAUUUGGCUGCGGUACUCAUAUCCGGAUCUCAUUACUGUGUGGUCGGAUAUGCUGGAGAGGAGAGUUUGGAGGGGUGCUCUUCACCCCAAUAGGAUUGAUAGGUCCAGACGGUGGGUUAAUAAAAAGGUUUGGGACCUAGUUUUAUCACUUGGUGGAGCUUUUAUUCCCCAUGAAAGGGUAUAAUUUCAACUUCCACAUUUAUUCCGAGAUGAUGGUGUUCAUCACUCAGAGACUGGGUGCGUUUUGUUCUUGGAGGACCUUAUGUUGGGCUUGGGUUUUUUGUUUUCUUUGGGUUGAGGGGAACAAGCUUCAGCUGAUCCCCUCUUGUGGCGUGGAAUUCGGACAGGUGAGGUAUUUGGGGAAAAAUUAAGGAGGAUGAGGCAUUUUGGUAAAGGGCACUCCCUAGGGAACCAUCAGUGCUUAAAGUCUGUUGUGGAUCUGGGGAGUGUCCAAGUGGGACCGGCUUGCACAUCAUGGUGAACGCCUUUACGGUGGGGCCAGGAUGCGGAAGUUGGAACCAUAUGCUUGAAUCCAAUAGCAAGGAGGGAUGACUUUUCCCACAUCCUUGGUAGGGAGUUAUAGUCCAAGGUGACUGACCUAUUUUGAGAUUGAGGGAGUAUUCCCUACUAGUUAGUCUGCACUUCACCUGCCCGAAGGAGUUAAAUUGGAUUAAUUUCAUUGAAUUGGA